rnacentral:rRNA from 1 species
UACGUAGGGGGCAAGCGUUGUCCGGAAUUAUUGGGCGUAAAGAGCUCGUAGGCGGUUUGUUGCGUCGGCUGUGAAAUCCCGAGGCUCAACCUCGGGUCUGCAGUCGAUACGAGCAAACUAGAGUGUUGCAGGGGAGACUGGAAUUCCUGGUGUAGCGGUGAAAUGCGCAGAUAUCAGGAGGAACACCGGUGGCGAAGGCGGGUCUCUGGGCAACAACUGACGCUGAGGCGCGAAAGCGUGGGGAGCAAACAGG